rnacentral:rRNA from 1 species
UCAUGCUAGAAAGAGCGUAUGGUGGAUGCCUUGGCACUAAGAGCCGAUGAAAGACGUGAUAAGCUGCGAAAAGCUUCGGGGAGGAGCAAAUAUCCUUUGAUCCGGAGAUCUCUGAAUGGGGAAACCCACUUGAGCAAACCUCAAGUAUCCUUAAGCCAAUACAUAACUUAAGGAAGGGAACCCGGUGAACUGAAACAUCUAAGUAGCCGGAGGAAGAGAAAACAACAUGUGAUUCUGUGAGUAGCGGCGAGCGAAAACGGAAGAGCCCAAACCGGGAUGCGUGCAUCCCGGGGUUCGGACCGCAUAAUUGAUUCAACAAAUUUAGCAGAACGGUUUUGGGAAAGCCGGCCAGAGAGGGUGAAAGCCCCGUAAGCGAAAGAUGAGUUGACAUGGCGGUAUCCAGAGUAGGUCGAGACACGUGGAACCUUGACUGAACACGCGGGGACCACCCCGUAAGGCUAAAUACUCCUUAGUGACCGAUAGCGCAUAGUACUGUGAAGGAACGGUGAAAAGGACCCCGGGAGGGGAGUGAAACAGAACCUGAAACCAUAUGUUUACAAGCUGUGGAAGAGCUUUAUAUGCUCAACCGCGUACUUUUUGUAGAACGGUCCGGCGAGUUGCGCUGGCUGGCGAGGUUAAGCACCAAAGGUGUGGAGCCGAAGGGAAACCAAGUCUUAAUAGGGCGAAUGAGUCAGUCGGAGCAGACCCGAAACCGGGUGAUCUAUCCAUGUCCAGGUUGAAGUUGCCGUAAAAGGCAAUGGAGGACCGAACCCACAUCCGUUGAAAAGGGUGGGGAUGAGGUGUGGAUAGGGGAGAAAUUCCAAUCGAACCCGGAGAUAGCUGGUUCUCCUCGAAAUAGCUUUAGGGCUAGCCUCGUUUUAGUCUUAUGGAGGUAGAGCACUGAAUUUCCGCGGGGGCGUCAAAGCUUACCAAAGAAUAUCAAACUCCGAAUGCCAUGUAGAUGAUGAACGGGAGUCAGACUGCACGAGAUAAGUUGGGCGGUCAAAAGGGAAAGAGCCCAGACCACCGGCUAAGGUCCCAAAGUGUGUGUUAAGUGGAAAAGGAUGUGGGAAUUCGAAGACAACUAGGAUGUUGGCUCAGAAGCAGCCAUACAUUCAAAGAGUGCGUAACAGCUCACUAGUCGAGAGUCCCUGCGCCGAAAAUGUCCGGGGCUGAAACACAACACCGAAGCCGUGGACUCCGUAAGGAGUGGUAGAGGAGCAUUCUUAAAACCGACGAAGCUGUACCGGUAAGGAGCAGUGGAGGGAUAAGAAGAGAGAAUGCCGGAAUGAGUAGCGAGAGGAAGGUGGGAAUCCUUCCGGCCGAAUAUCUAAGGUUUCCAGAGUAAAGCUGAUCUGCUCUGGGUAAGUCGGGGCCUAAGGAGAGGUCGCAAGACGUAUCCGAUGGACAACAGGUUUAGAUUCCUGUACCGCAUAUAAACAGAACUGUGGGGACGCAUGUGGAAAGCAUAAGCCGGGAAUGGAAAGACCGGUACAAGCGGGGUAGGUGUGUGACAGGCAAAUCCGUCAUAUAAGCCGAAGACGUGAUGUGGAGCGAAAUUAAGUAGUGAAGUAUGUGAGCCAUGUGCCGAGAAAAGCCGCUAUUGUUUUAUAUGUGCCCGUACCGUAAACCGACACAGGUGGAUGAGGAGAGAAUCCUAAGGCCGACGGAAGAAGCAUUGUUAAGGAAUUCGGCAAAAUGACCCCGUAACUUCGGGAGAAGGGGUGCCCACUGAAUGGUGGGCCGCAGAGAAUAGGCUCAAGCAACUGUUUAGCAAAAACACAGGUCUAUGCGAAACCGAAAGGUGAAGUAUAUGGGCUGACGCCUGCCCGGUGCUGGAAGGUUAAGAGGAGAGGUUAGCGCAAGCGAAGCUUUGAAUUUAAGCCCCAGUAAACGGCGGCCGUAACUAUAACGGUCCUAAGGUAGCGAAAUUCCUUGUCGGGUAAGUUCCGACCC